GUGAAAGCCCGGGGCUCAACCUGGGAAUGGCACUGGAUACUGGAAAGCUAGAAUGUGGCAGAGGGUAGGAGAAUUCCUGGUGUAGCAGUGAAAUGCGUAGAGAUCAGGAGGAACAUCCGUGGCGAAGGCGACUGCCUGGGCCAACACUGACACUGAGGCACGAAAGCGUGGGGAGCAAACAGG
rnacentral:rRNA from 1 species